CACAGCCACGGCCGCUAGCCUGAGGAGGCCGUCCUUCAGCUCCCGCUCUUCCUGCUCGCCGGACACGGACGACCGGGGCGCCUGCGAAGAUGAUUCCAUCUGGGAGAGCCAAGGGGCACGACCUGAAGGCCCUCACACUCAAUUCCACCAUCUCCAACAUCCAGUAUUUGACAGACAUGAGCAAGGGCUCAGCCACAUUGAACUCCACUGAGAGAGUCCUGCAGCACCUGAUGAGACCCUGGUGCCAGCAGCUCCCGGCAGGAUGAGUCCCAGCCAGCCGCACCCCACCUGCUGUCUCUCCUGCUCGUCCUCCUCCUGCCUCCUCCCCUGCUUGGAUCCUUGUUCAAGAAGAGCAGCCUGGGCCCCUUGUCUUGGGCUGUAGACUGAUCUCCCUCAGGGAAGUCCCUUUUCUGAGCAUUUGAGAGUCAUGAACACUUUCGGUGACCACCCCAAUUUUCACUCUUCCCACUGACUGCCAAUUUGCUCCUCCCUCCCUCUGGCCCCCAUUAUCAGAGGAUUCAGGACAUCUCUCUACAGUCCCCACAUUCCUCUCUCCCCGGGCCUGCGGAGGAAGGGGCUGCCUCCAGCAUGGAAGCUGUCUGCACCUACCACCCUGACCCCAUGGCUCAUGAUGGAGAGUGUGACAGAGACCCCAUGUGACAGAGAGCAGCAUUCCUGGGUGCUGAACCAGCUGAUCCACCAUGUGACCCCGAGGGACCUCUACUCUCUGGUCAGGGACAGCCUUUUUGUCAGUUGUGAGUGUUUGUGCUGAGCUGGAUUGACAGUGAUCGUUACUUAUGCCUGUUCUGCUUUAUUUCCUCUCUAACAAGUCAGCCCAGGUUCUGAGUGGGGGACACAGAAACCACAUAUGUAAAAAGUUUCAACUUACAAACGGAGACUAUGUAAAUGGAUUUGUUGAUCCCAAUAAAAAAAAGUGAACUACCUCACUAUUAAUUUUUAUAUAGAUUGCCUGGACAAAUGGUAAUAUCUUGGUUAUAAUGGGUUUAAAUAUACCAUUAAAAAUUAGUUUCACUUGUUUAUUUUUACUUUUUUAAAUGUCAGUAUUUAAAAAAAGUUUAAAUUUGAUUAGAUAGAGUGUGAAAUUCUACUGUUGGACAGCACUGUUCAAGACGUGAAAAUAAAGCCCAGAGAAAGUGGUUAGGGACAAUUUUUCCAAGGAAAGGAGUCAAUCUGACCCACGUGGCAAGAUGCAGAAAACAGUCUCAUACACACAUACAUACACACACACACACA
rnacentral:lncRNA from 1 species